GACGAACGCUGGCGGCGUGCUUAACACAUGCAAGUCGAACGGAAAGGCCCUGCUUUUGUGGGGUGCUCGAGUGGCGAACGGGUGAGUAACACGUGAGUAACCUGCCCUUGACUUUGGGAUAACUUCAGGAAACUGGGGCUAAUACCGGAUAGGAGCUCCUGCUGCAUGGUGGGGGUUGGAAAGUUUCGGCGGUUGGGGAUGGACUCGCGGCUUAUCAGCUUGUUGGUGGGGUAGUGGCUUACCAAGGCUUUGACGGGUAGCCGGCCUGAGAGGGUGACCGGCCACAUUGGGACUGAGAUACGGCCCAGACUCAUACGGGAGGCAGCAGUGGGGAAUAUUGCAAAAUGGGCGGAAGCCUGAUGCAGCAACGCCGCGUGCGGGAUGACGGCCUUCGGGUUGUAAACCGCUUUCGCCUGUGACGAAGCGUGAGUGACGGUAAUGGGUAAAGAAGCACCGGCUAACUACGUG
rnacentral:rRNA from 1 species